rnacentral:rRNA from 1 species
UACAGAGGUCUCAAGCGUUGUUCGGAUUCAUUGGGCGUAAAGGGUGUGUAGGUGGCGCCGUAAGUCGGGUGUGAAAUCUCGGAGCUUAACUCCGAAACUGCAUUCGAUACUGCCGUGCUUGAGGACUGGAGAGGGAUGCAGAAUUCCAGGUGUAGCGGUGAAAUGCGUAGAUAUCUGGAGGAAUACCGGUGGCGAAGGCGGCAUCCUGGACCGACAUUGACGCUGAACGGCGAAAGCUAGGGGAGCAAACGGG